UACGGGGGGGGCAAGCGUUGUUCGGAAUUACUGGGCGUAAAGGGCUCGUAGGCGGCCAACUAAGUCAGACGUGAAAUCCCUCGGCUUAACCGGGGAACUGCGUCUGAUACUGGAUGGCUAGAGGUUGGGAGAGGGAUGCGGAAUUCCUGGUGUAGCGGUGAAAUGCGCAGAUAUCAGGAAGAACACCCGUGGCGAAGGCGGCUCUCCGGUACGGAACUGACGCUGAGACGCGAAAGCGUGGGGAGCGAACAGG
rnacentral:rRNA from 1 species